rnacentral:rRNA from 1 species
AGAGUGAACGCUGGCGGUAGGCCUAACACAUGCAAGUCGAACGGCAGCACGGUAAGAGCUUGCUCUUAUGGGUGGCGAGUGGCGGACGGGUGAGGAAUACAUCGGAAUCUACCUUUUGGUGGGGGAUAACGUAGGGAAACUUACGCUAAUACCGCAUACGCCCUUCGGGGGAAAGCCGGGGACCAGCAAUGGCCUGGCGCUGAUAGAUGAGCCGAUGUCGGAUUAGCUAGUUGGUGAGGUAAUGGCUCACCAAGGCGACGAUCCGUAGCUGGUCUGAGAGGAUGAUCAGCCACACUGGAACUGAGACACGGUCCAGACUCCUACGGGAGCAGCAGUGGGGAAUAUUGACAAUGGGCGCAAGCCUGAUCCAAGCCAUACCG